GCCGGAGUGGCGAAACUGGUAGACGCGCCAGACUCAAAAUCUGGUUUGGGAAACCAAGUGUCGGUUCGAUUCCGACCUCCGGCA
rnacentral:tRNA from 1 species